GACGAACGCUGGCGGCGUGCUUAACACAUGCAAGUCGAACGGAAAGGCCCUGCUUUUGUGGGGUGCUCGAGUGGCGAACGGGUGAGUAACACGUGAGUAACCUGCCCUUGACUUUGGGAUAACUUCAGGAAACUGGGGCUAAUACCGGAUAGGAGCUCCUGCUGCAUGGUGGGGGUUGGAAAGUUUCGGCGGUUGGGGAUGGACUCGCGGCUUAUCAGCUUGUUGGUGGGGUAGUGGCUUACCAAGGCUUUGACGGGUAGCCGGCCUGCGAGGGUGACCGGCCACAUUGGGACUGGGAUGCGGCCCAGACUCCUACGGGAGACGGCAGUGGGGAAUAUUGCGCAAUGGGCGGAAGCCUGAUGCAGCAACGCCGCGUGCGGGAUGACGGCCUUCGGGUUGUAGACCGCUUUCGACUGUGACGAAGCGUGAGUGACGGUAAUGGGUAAAGAAGCACCGGCUAACUACGUG
rnacentral:rRNA from 1 species